rnacentral:rRNA from 1 species
AGCCNUGUCUCCGAAUGNAUUUGAUUUAAGUUUGAUCAUGGCUCAGACGAGGCGUUACGGCAGGCCUAACACAUGCAAGUCGAACGGUAACAGUGAAGCAGCUUGCUGCUUUGCUGACGAGUGGCGGACGGGUGAGUAAUGUCUGGGAAACUGCCUGAUGGAGGGGGAUAACUACUGGAAACGGUAGCUAAUACCGCAUAACGUCGCAAGACCAAAGAGGGGGACCUUCGGGCCUCUUGCCAUCGGAUGUGCCCAGAUGGGAUUAGCUUAGUAGGUGAGUGUAACGGCUCACCUAGGCGACGAUCCCUAGCUNGGUCUAGAGGGGAUGACCAGCCACACUGGAACUGAGACACGGUCCAGACUCCUACGGGAGGCAGCAGUGGGGAAUAUUUGCACAAUGGGCGCAAGCCUGAUAGCAGCCAUGCCGCGUAGUAUGAAGAAGGCCUAUCGGGUUGUAAAGUACUUUCAGCGGGGAGGAAGGUGUUGAGGUUAAUAAACCUACAGCAAUUAGACGUUAACCCGGCAGAAAGAAGCACCCGGGCUAACUACCGGUAGCCCAAAC